GCAACGUCCCUCGCAGAUCACAAGACGUGCCCUCAAAAUAGGCCACCCUGAAAGGGAAAGGAACCCAUCACCAUAUUGUGCAAAGUUAAGUGUACAAAAUGGACUGUUAAAGAAUAUAUUUUAAAACCUGAGAGAAAAUAAAUGUCUGAACCCAAAUCAGAGAAUAUAAAUGAGUGACAACUCAAUGAGGAGAGGAAAUUCCCAGCAAAGAGAUUGUGACAGCAUGAGAAAAAAAAGAUGAGGUUCUGGAGGCUGGGAGUUGAAGAUAAGGAUACCAGCUGGGUACGAUCCAUGCCCAGUUUUCCAUGCAGACUGCUGACUUUCUUAUAUAUCCUCGCACUGUGAAAAGAAGGUUAAAUACCUGGGAGUGAGAUUGCUGUGUCAUAUGACGACUGUAGUUCAUUCAGGAGACAACAACGCCGCAGGUGAUCUGGAGGCUCCUGGAGGACCUCAGCGACUCAGGUCCAGUCCAAGGAGGGCCGCAGAUCAGGCUGAAGAAGGAUGGAUCCACAUGCUUAGAGGAGAUCGAGAAAUGCAGUAGAAACCCCGAGACAACUAGAACUGAUUUGCUCAGGAGCCCUGUGGGGGACAUUCAUUUUGGGAUUCAAAGGGGACUGCUGCCCCUCUUUAACCUGAGCAGGGAACAGGAAGUGCCGCCGCAGCUCCACUGCCCAGUUCUGCAAAUCUUCUGGCUUGUUGUUUGGCGCUGGGUGUGUGUUAAUCAUUCACCUCAAGGAUUUCUUAAAGAGUAUUUAUUCCCAAAAUAGAGAUGUGGAAGUCAGCCUAUACCACUGGGCAAUAAUUCCAUCUCCUGUAACUUUCCCAUAGGAGUAAAUCUAAUCAAUGUCACUGUUGUUGAAAUUAUAAAAGUGAACCAACUACAGAGUGGAAUUUCCCCCCAACCGCUCCCUCCCUCUUGUUUUCGUGUACUUUGUAACCUGAGGAGAAGUUUCCAUGAGGAAGCAGAGUUUAUGUUGAAGUUACUGAGUGAUGUAUGGGAGAUCUCAAACACAGAAACUGCCUUUAGACGUUAAAAAAGAAUAAAACUCUGUUGUGCCCACGAUGGACUUGUGCAAGUAGAAUGCUCAAUGUUUUCCUUUGCAGAAACAUUGAUCCCCUUACAGGAGGAUCUUACAAGAUACCCACUGUGCUCCAUUCUCAUGUCCCCAUGGUCGUAGAGCUGCCUAAAUAACAUUGCCCAGGAGAGAUUUUUAUCCCUUGGCAAUGAUGCUCAUUCAUGAUUGUGUGGGCAGCACACUUAGCUUUACUUGGGAAAAGAUUUCCUAAUGUAGUGUUGCCUGGCUAAAUAUAAGCUGUCUUUGCACACAUGAAACUAAGUGGAGACUUGACUUAAUGAUCUCGUAACUCUGGUUAGUGCUUCAAUUUAGAAAGAAAAGUGAGUGGGCUUUUCUUUAGUUUUGCAACAGUAAUUUCUUAAAAGCCAAGAAACUUCACAUUUGUAGUUAUGCCUAGGAUGAAAGUUGUUGAAGCUUCUAUUCUUGAUUCCACCUUUGUUCAUGAUUGCUUAUUUUUAAUCUUUUCCAUCUAAACUGUAUUCUGAAAAUUAGUAUAAUCAUGUGAACAUUUCUGAACCACAACAUUUAAUAGAAUUGAAUCAAGAACAAAAAAGUUUCACCUAGCAGUUUUUUGACACUUGACAGAUGAUGUUUACAUUUAUUUACUGUCUGACAAAAUUAUCUGAAACCUAACUCAAGGUUUAAUUUUCAUUGGGGGCUUCACAAUGAAAGGGUUGACAGCAGUGUCCUCAUUCAAUCCUCAGGCUCAGCCCUUUCCUCUCAGUGGACCUCAGUGGCACUGAAUCAGGUUAAUCAGAAUCCUUGAGGCAGAACAUAGCGCCUCUUUGGUCAUUCAUUCAUUUAUGUAGGUAUCGUUUUUUAUUUUUAUUUUUUUUGAGACAGAGUUUCGCUCUUGUUGC
rnacentral:lncRNA from 1 species